CAUUAACUGAAUCCAUAGGUUAAUGAGGCGAACCGGGGGAACUGAAACAUCUAAGUACCCCGAGGAAAAGAAAUCAACCGAGAUUCCCCCAGUAGCGGCGAGCGAACGGGGAGGAGCCCAGAGCCUGAAUCAGUGUGUGUGUUAGUGGAAGCGUCUGGAAAGGCGCGCGAUACAGGGUGACAGCCCCGUACACAAAAAUGCACAUGCUGUGAGCUCGAUGAGUAGGGCGGGACACGUGGUAUCCUGUCUGAAUAUGGGGGGACCAUCCUCCAAGGCUAAAUACUCCUGACUGACCGAUAGUGAACCAGUACCGUGAGGGAAAGGCGAAAAGAACCCCGGCGAGGGGAGUGAAAAAGAACCUGAAACCGUGUACGUACAAGCAGUGGGAGCACAGAGCAAUCUGUGUGACUGC
rnacentral:rRNA from 1 species